AGGAGGAAUAGAACUUUCUCCAGGAACCCAGGGACUUAUCCAGGGAUGACAAUCUAACUUUUUAGGGUCUGAUUGAAAGAUCUGCAUCCUUGUGGACAAGAACUUAACUCUACAGAGGAGAUUCCUCCUGCCACAGGAUUACACCUGGAAAGAUUUUAACAUUCUUUUCCUUUGUCAAGUCCCCAAAGGAUACAUUCCUGAUAGGGAAUCCUAGAGUUUAUUCUCCCUUGAAUGACUAAGGCCCUAGGCAAAGCUGAAGAGGAGUCUGGAUUCUGUGAGAAUGAACAAGGCAGCUGCUCGGAGUCGGCUGCUGAGGGGGCCAUCUGUUUAAGCAACGAGAAGUACGGAGCUAAAGAGGCACACGGUAUUCAAACAUGUGAGUUCCCUGCACCAGGGCUUCUGGUCAGUUCUUCAAUCAGGAGAGAAAAUGAUGCUUAGGUGUUAAAGGUUCAGGGGGAGCCGAAAUGACUUCAAUUGCCAAAAUAAACAGAAUUGCUUAAUUAAUCUAACUAAAAAAUCCUGUUCAGCAUUGGAUUAAAAAAAUCAUGUUGAUGCUGCCCCUGUUUAUUUGGCUGAAUCCUGGACUGAGAGGGUAUAUUUAGCCUCAGUGUGCUUGCAGGAUUGCAUCUUGCAGCUCAACAGGAAAUAUCUGGAGUCACAGCUAAAGAUAUCUCUGCAUGUUCAGAAAUUUACGAGCAGCUGUAAAAGUGGAGCUAUGGUGGGCAGAGUGCUGGAACAGUCUCCCUUUCAAAUGAGAGAGGCCGCUGAAUUAAACACUUGAAUAUACCAAGUUCAUGGCAGGCAGAGGGCACCUGACAUGCUAAAAAUAGCCAAAGUGGAAGUGCUUCUGUUGCUAAAAUAAUACUGAACUGGUAUGCUCCUUUUCUCAACCCACAAGAAAUGGGUGAAGGGGUAGAGGGUAGGCUCUGAGAUUCCAAAAAGUGUGUCAGAAGCUAUGCCAAGUGAAAGUCAUUUCCUCAUUUUGCCACUUUUCAAAAAUAAAUAGCUUUCUUAAGCUGAGCAAACUGAAGUAGCAGUAAUCAAUAUAUUAUUUUUUAAUAACACGAGACAGAAAUGGUAGCAGCAAAAAGACACUGCAUACCUGGAUCUGUAGUCCUGCUGACAAGCAAUCCUGCUGACGAGCAAACCUUUUCCAUCAUGGGCAAGACUCAUUUAUUUUUAAACAUCCUUUUGCUAGACUCCCUUAUCAGCAACUCCACGCCCUGCUCACCAAUGCCCGGCUGGAAAGGUCCCUACUUACUCCUGUGCACAUGCCUGGCAAGGCUGCUUGCUAAACAGCAUGGACAAGGGGACGUCUGUGCCCCUGCAUGUUGCCGGGCAGAGGAGGCUACGACCUUUUCCCGAAUGGCCAUUAGGUCCAAGAGCCACUGAACUUUCAUUCUGUGACCGAGGACAUUGUCUCAUCUUUCCAAGUCUCACUUGCCCUUUUGCCUGAUGUGGGGCUAAUAGAGAUUACCCUGGUGGCCUCCUGAAGUUGCUGUGCAGAUCUAGUGAGCUAAUGCAUGCGAGAGCACUUUGUGACUCCCAAAAGCCUGAAACCUGAUGGAGGAUGUGGUUGCUGUUGUUAUUGGGCAUUCUACUGGAAACGCGGGGAAAGAACAGCAACAUCUCCCGGUGAUAAGGGAGUGCUGUGCACAGACAUUGAGUGUGUUCUCUUUUGUGGGAUGGUGCCAUCUUCCACAGGUACAAGCACUGUCCACAUCCCACUGAGAGCAGCAGGGGCCACAGGAAGUCCGCUUGCUUUCAAUGAGCUUGGCAUGGCUCACUGCCGGCAUCGCGGCCACACUCCUGCUUCAGUGACUGCACCUACUCUGGGCAGCUCCCAAUGCAGGGCUGGGCCUGGGUUCACGGGGAAGCAGGGGCUGAGACAGAGGUGAUAACAUAGGAUGUGACUGUUUAAAUUCACCUGGCUUCGGUCAACAUUGACAGAAGGUGUACAUGACUCUACGGGAAUGGGGAAAUGGCAGCACCAGGGGCUGACUGAGCCCCAGUCCUGACUGUGACUGCUUUGGUAACAACAAGGUGUUUAGGAAGAACAGUCCCAGUCCUUUUCCAAAGGUCGCCUCCUGGUGUUUACUAAAGGAACUCUGAGUCUCAGCAGAAGCAGAAGUCCUACCAUUAGCUUGCAGAACCCUUCAGGAUGGGAAAGAAGACUUGGGCUUCAGUGACUCAGCCUGGAGCUGGGAACAGGCAGGCAGGGAUACAGAGUGGGUGUUCUUCUCCUACAGGAGGAGAGAUGCAUCCCUCAUGCCCAGAGAGGCUCUGGGGUCCCCGAAUCCAGAGGUAGUAGAAGAAGAGUCAAAACACACUCUCCUGAGAACACAUCUCAGGUGCAUGGAACACAAGACACGCUGCUUUGAUUAGGGUGCUCUCUUGUCCAUUUUGUUCUAUAAUCCACAAGAGAAGACCAUCUGCACAGCAGUGACAUGCUCUAGUUGACCAUGAUGAGCCUUUCCUAGGGAAACUAUUUUGAGUGGUAUAUCUUACAGGAGACUGCAAGGCUCAAUAGUACAGUCACCAGGAAAAUCUACAUGUAAAUAUGACACUUAUGAACCGGCAAUAAAAUAUGGUGAGUCUAAAGACCUUCCAUGUCAAAGUUCUUUUUCUUUUUUUUUUUUGACGGAGUUUCACUUUAGUUGCCCAGGCUGGAGUGCAGUGGUGUGAUCUUGGCUCACCACAACCUCCGCCUCUUGGGUUCAAGCCAUUCUCCUGCCUCAGCCUUCUGAGUAGCUGCAAUUACAGGCAUGUGCCACCACAUCUGGCUAAUUUUGUGUUUUUAGUAAAGAUGGGGUUUCUCCAUGUUGGUCAGGCUGGUCUUGAACUCCUGACCUCAGGUGAUCCACCCGCCUUGGCCUCCCAAAGGGCUUGGAUUACAGGCGUGAGCCAUCGCGCCCAGCCUCUUUUUUUUUUUUUUUUUUUUAAAGACACAGUCUCCCUCUGUUGCCCAGUCCGGAGUGCAGUGGCACAAUCAAGGUUCACUGCAGCCUCAAACUCCUGGGUUCAGGCGAUCCUCCUACUUCAGCCUCCUGAGUAGCUGGGACCACAGGUGUAUACUACCAUGUCUCAGCUAGUUUUUUAUUUUUUAAUUUUAUUUUUGUAGAGACAGGGCCUCACUAUGUUGCCCAGGUUGGUCUCAAUCUUCUGGGCUCCAGCGAUCCUCCCGCCUUGGCCUCCCAAAGUACGGGCAUUACAGGCAUGAGCCACUGUGCCCAGCCAAGGCUCCUUGUCUGUGAGGAGGAUUCAGAGACAUCUUAGAAAUUUUCAUUACCUUUGCCUAUGAAUUAAGUAUAUAGUAUCGGCAAAAAAUAUUUGGACACUUCUGGCUUAAAUGGAUGGAAGCUUUAAGAGUUCAACCGUUGUUCCCAUGGACAGGGC
rnacentral:lncRNA from 1 species